AUAAUACUCCCUCCGUCCGGAAUUACUUGUCAUCAAAAUGGAUGUGUCUAGAACUAAAAUACAUCUAGAUACAUCCAUUUCAAUGACAAGUAUUUUCGGACGGAGGGAGGAGUAG
rnacentral:pre_miRNA from 1 species